AUCUGUGCCAGAUUUUGACAGUGUAAAUGUAGCCUGUUCUCAGAUCUCGGGCCCUCGGCUCCACAGAUGAAUCGUGGGCUGUGAUCUUCGUCCAUGGCAGGGCUUCAGCUCGCCCUCAUGUCUGCCAUCUGAUUCUACACCUGCCAAACAACAUGACCUCAUCGGCACGGCACGUUUCCCAGUUACACCUGGACACAGAGAAAGACAUUGACAAAUGCAUGAAGAGAAGCAAAAAAGAAUGAAAUCCGGGACCUGUAAAUUAUUUAUCUUCUUUUGUCAGCCCAUCAGAGAGAUCGUCGUUAGCCCUGUUUAAGCAUUUCAACAUCGGCUGGAUUGGCUCUUGAUUUGACUCUGAAGAGGCUGAGAGUGACAGAGAUGUGUGAAUGUCCCAGCAGAGGAUUCGAUCUGCACCGCAGGCCAAGUGUGCUGAAAUACACCCUUUAAUCUGCCAAUUAUCACUUGAUACAGCGAGUGCUUUUGAAGAAGAACUAAUCAUUGGAUUUGCCAAAGUUUGCCAUCAGGCGUACUACUCUGGCUGUGACAUCAUCAUCCUGGGGAGGGACUUUGAGAGGAUUCAGAUCAUCCCAGGAGCCAUACACGGGAACAUCCAGGUGGACACACACACACACACACACACACACGGUUCUGGCGUCCAAACAACAUCAAGGUCUUUAUAAACUGUUACAGCACUGACUCAAGAGUGACACAUAGCAUAGCUUUUAGCCUCAUCAUUGCAGUUUGAGGUUUAGGAAUUAGUUUUUUUAUGUUUAUGUCAGUUUUAAUAAUUUUAGCAUUUCAACUUUUUCGUAAAAAUGUACUACUUUAAUUUUAGUACUGUUUUCAUUUAAUUUAUAGUGCUUUUUACUUUACAAA